CUACGGGGGGCUGCAGCCGAGAAUAUUGCGCAAUGGGCGAAAGCCUGACGCAGCGACGCCGCGUGCUCGAAGAAGCCCUAUGGGGUGUAAAGAGCUUUUAACUGAGAAUAACCUUCGGGUGAAUGUACCAGUUGAAUAAGGGGCUGCUAAUUUCGUGCCAGCAGCAGCGGUAAGACGAGAGCCCCGAGCGUUAUCCGGAUUUAUUGGGCGUAAAGCGUCCGCAGGCGGUUUGGUAAGUUUUGGGUUAAAUACCCUGGGCUCAACCUAGGGAAUGCUCAAUAUACUGCUAAACUAGAGGACAGUAGAGGCUGACGGAACACACGGUGUGGGGGUGGAAUCCGUUGAUAUCGUGUGGAACACCAAAAGCGAAGGCAGUCAGCUGGGGUGAUCCUGACGCUCAUGGACGAAAGCUAAGGGAGAGAAGAGGAUUAGAUACCCUAGUAGUC
rnacentral:rRNA from 1 species